CGAGCCGGCAAAAAUAAAAGAGGUUAAGGAUUAUCCACCGGAAAAUAGCCACAUCGACCAUUUGGAUCGCUAAACCCAUUACCAUGCGGUUCGAGUUAAUGUGCUUGGCCAGAUCAGAUAUUUGUUCAUGCUAAUGAGCAUAAGU
ensembl:ncRNA F12D9.15 ncRNA